GGGAGGAGGAGCCGUGGGAGGCCGCGUCCCUCCGGGCAGGGCUGUCUGAGGCGGACUGACCCCCAACCGGCGGGAUUGGGGUUCCCGUGCCCCCCGCCUCCUCUCCGCCUACAGAGCUCCCUCAGCGUCACCCCAUCGGCCCUCCCGCCUCGGGGCCGGCGCCGCUCAGCCCCGCAGCCCAGGCCGCAGCGCCCAGAGCAGACGUGGACUUUGAGGACAUGGCCAUUGCCUUCUAUCACGAGUGGGGGAUCCUGGAUGAGGCUCAGAGACUUCUGUGAUGUGAUGCUGGAAGUGUUUGCACUUGUAGCAUCUGUAGCCAGUCCAUGGACUCUGCUGAUCACCCACUUUCUUGUCACCUGUGCUGUGGCUGCCGGUGCUGAGCUGUGUGGAGAGUCCUGAGCAAUGAACUCCUCGACCAUCCCUAACACCCAUUGUCCCACAGUGCAGAAAGUGUCUGGAGUCAUGAGUGUUACAGACAGCUUCCCCUCAGUGGUAUUGACAGUCACUCUGAGGGGGCACAGAGCUGGAGGGCAUCCUGGCCCCUUCUCUCCUGGCAGGUAGGCCGGCUGGCCUCCUGUUAUCGGGAGAGCGUGGUCUUUCUGAAGAGGUCACUUAGCGCGUCAUCCCGGCAACUGGGGCGUGUCCUACAGAGAAGAGAGGAAGAACUAAAACGCAGGCGUGAGGGCAGGAGUGUCCUCGGAGAGCCCUCCCUUUCCCUACCUC